UACGUAGGGGGCAAGCGUUGUCCGGAUUUAUUGGGCGUAAAGAGCGUGUAGGCGGUUUGGUAGGUCCGCUGUGAAAACUCGAGGCUCAACCUCGAGACGCCGGUGGAAACCAUCAGACUAGAGUCCGGAAGAGGAGAGUGGAAUUCCUGGUGUAGCGGUGAAAUGCGCAGAUAUCAGGAGGAACACCGAUGGCGAAGGCAGGUCACUGGGCCGCAACUGACGCUGAGGAGCGAAAGCAUGGGGAGCGAACAGG
rnacentral:rRNA from 1 species